GGAAGGAGAAGCUUUAAGCGUUAUAUUGUAAGUAUAAAGAAGGAGAAUACUCCCCUUUCCA
rnacentral:tRNA from 1 species